AGCAGCUCAUUGGGCGUAAAGUGUGCGCAGGCGGUUUCGUAAGACAGAGGUGAAAUCCCCGGGCUCAACCUGGGAACUGCCUUUGUGACUGCAAGGCUGGAGUGCGGCAGAGGGGGAUGGAAUUCCGCGUGUAGCAGUGAAAUGCGUAGAUAUGCGGAGGAACACCGAUGGCGAAGGCAAUCCCCUGGGCCUGCACUGACGCUCAUGCACGAAAGCGUGGGGAGCAAACA
rnacentral:rRNA from 1 species